rnacentral:rRNA from 1 species
AACGCGAAGAACCUUACCAAGGUUUGACAUGCAGGGAAAAGCCGUAGAGAUAUGGUGUCCGUAAGGGUCCUGCACAGGUGGUGCAUGGCUGUCGUCAGCUCGUGUCGUGAGAUGUUGGGUUAAGUCCCGCAACGAGCGCAACCCUCGUCCUAUGUUGCCAGCGGGUAAUGCCGGGGACUCAUAGGAGACUGCCGGGGUCAACUCGGAGGAAGGUGGGGAUGACGUCAAGUCAUCAUGCCCCUUAAGUCUUGGGCUGCAAACAUGCUACAAUGGCCGGUACAGAGGGCUGCGAGACCGUAAGGUGGAGCGAAUCUCAAAAAGCCGGUCUCAGUUCGGAUUGGGGUCUGCAACUCGACCCCAUGAAGUCGGAGUCGCUAGUAAUCGCGAAUCAGCAACGUCGCGGUGAAUACGUUCCCGGGCCUUGUA